rnacentral:piRNA from 1 species
UGCAACUGCGGUAUUACCUGCACGAC